UACAUAUUUAUUUUAUUUUAUAUAUAUUUUAUUUUUUGUGGUGCCAUUGCCUCCAGAUUUUUACUGUUUCUUUGACUUGAUUUUUUUUCAUUUUCUCCUAAAUCUUGCCGACUAAGAAUCAGAAGCAAAGACUGAAAGAACCGAUCAUUAGUAGAAAAUGUGACAAACCUGCAGAAAAACGUAGUUAUUGUGUUCUAAUGUUUCCUAGCUGAUAUUAAGAGGCACUUUAUUCAGAUUAUUGGUGGAGUUUCGGGUCUAAACAAACUAAAAGCAGCUUCAUAAGUCAAUAAAUCUGUGUGUUUUUCCUGUUUAUUUACCGGUGAAGCUGCGGUUGACGAUGACGAGGCCCAGAUGGUUCCUGAUGAAGGAUCCUCGAGGAACCACAGAAACCUCCUGGUCGAUCUGAUGAACCGUCACCGAGAGCCUCGUCUCCUCUUUCACCUUGUUCUGAAACACAAAGAAGCAGCUGGAAGUUCACGUCUCUGCAGACCUGAAGCUGAACCUGCUGAAGUGACCGGCACUAGGACCCAGGAGCAGCCUGUUCCAUCCAGGUGAGUGAGUUCAGAGGAAGCUCAGGUGUGUGUUUCAGUUAAUUUAGUUGUAUUGUUGGGCUGAUGUGGGGGUAAACACACACCCUGAGAUAUUUGUAUGUGUUUUUGUUCCAGACUGAUUAUUACGUAAUAAAACGUGUGUCUGCCGCUAAUUAUUCCUUUUGUAAAGUUUUCUAGCAUCCAGGAGUGGCGGCAGGUAGGAAAACAUCUCUGAUUGGAAACCUCUGUUUACCUGCGAUAAACCUCAUGUUGUGCAACCAUUUGCUGCUGAUUAUCUGUUGGUUUUCUCUUGUUUUUAUCUGCUGCAGUUAAAUUGUGGAACUAAUCUGCUGAAUUAUCGUCGUUUCCUCCUGCAGGCAUCGACCUGCUGAACUCUGCUGACCUUAUAUAAGGUUCACUGAGCUGGACCUCCGUCCUCUGACUUCCUGUUGACCUCCACGCGUUCGUAAACAAACGAAGGAUCUCCGAUGAAUCGACCUCGAGCCGCUUUGGACACUUCAGAGGCCAUCGAGUCUGUAGCUGCAGGCAGCAGGAACCAGUCC